rnacentral:lncRNA from 1 species
AUUUUUAUAGCGUAAAAGCUAAAUAAAUUUAUACAUACUGAAAUACAGUAAGCCAAAAUAUUUAAUUUAAUUUACAAUAACAAGAGGGCCCCCGAAUAAACAAAAGUAAAGAGGACUGUGAACCUACGGUUUGGAAAAUGCAGAUCCAAUGGUAGUCCUCGAUGAGAUCAGCUAUCUACAGUCUAUACUGAACCUGAAAUGGGUGGAAAGGAGUUGGGUGAGAUUUUGCAAUCCCAAUGAGUAAACAGACAUUAUCAUAAAUAUCUAAAGGCGAGUAAAAUGGAGGCAAGUUUAAACAACAAAUUUCAACCCAUUUCAUAAUGUUUUCAAUUUAUUUCUUAAACCAUAAAAUAUUUGUAAUUUACCAAAACAGUUGUUAAGGCUUAUGUCUUUUAUUAAAACAAGGCUCAAGCCAAAACUAAUCCUCGGGGAUACCUUGGCCGAGGCAUCUAACCGAGUCCGCCAAGGGUGUUAAAAUAUUCACACGUGAAACACAUUUUUAUUUUUAAAACCAGCCGUUCCUUGGCGUUGGCCGAGUUACACAUUCACGUGGGGGUUCGACGUGAAGUGAGCUCUAAUACUACCCCGGGAGUUACCCUCCUCGCCUCUACAACCGGAGUAACUAUAUAACUGGGUUUACCGUGCCCCUCUAAUAGGCAGUCCACGGAAACCCGUCACUGCAGUGACUAACCCACCAAUUUUAAUAAAAUUUCGACAAUAUAACAUGGCUUUUAUUUAUUUAUCCAGCCUGCAUAGUAAAAACAACUUACAUAAAUUUCCCAAUGCACUCACAAAAUAUGGCCACAUAUACUCAUUUCUCAUAAGCCAUUCCUAGAAAAAUAUAUAUUUUUCAAGUCAAUUUGCAGCCUCCAAUUACUCAAUUUCAUAAUCAAUACAAUAUAUUUUUAUUUGUCACAUUUAUUCCUAAAACAUCAAAAAUCCCGUUUUAAUCUCGUUCUCAUUUCAUAAAAUACAUAAAGGGCAUUUAAAAAUAAACUCUAGAUAAUUUACAAUAAUAAUAAGUUUACUCACCGUUUGUACAAACUAAAAGCUUUCUAAGUGCCCCGAUCACUACUCGUCGGGUACGACUUCUUUGUCUUUUCCGGAAGGCU